UACGAGGGGGGCGAGCGUUAUUCGGAAUCACUGGGCGUAAAGCGUGCGUAGGCUGUCUUGUAAGUUGGAAGUGAAAGCCCAGGGCUCAACCCUGGAAUUGCUUUCAAAACUACAAGACUUGAAUCUCGGAGAGGAUAGCGGAAUUUCCAGUGUAGCAGUGAAAUGCGUAGAUAUUGGAAGGAACACCAGUGGCGUAAGCGGCUAUCUGGACGAGUAUUGACGCUGAGGCACGAAAGCGUGGGGAUCAAACAGG
rnacentral:rRNA from 1 species